GCCGCCGAUCGACCGAGGAGGUUUUCGCCUCAAUCGCGAGCGCUGCCGUCCGACACCGCCGGCGGCGC
rnacentral:tRNA from 1 species